rnacentral:rRNA from 1 species
AGUGAACGCUGGCGGUAGGCCUAACACAUGCAAGUCGAACGGCAGCACAGUAAGAGCUUGCUCUUACGGGUGGCGAGUGGCGGACGGGUGAGGAAUACAUCGGAAUCUACUUUUUCGUGGGGGAUAACGUAGGGAAACUUACGCUAAUACCGCAUACGACCUACGGGUGAAAGCAGGGGAUCUUCGGACCUUGCGCGAUUGAAUGAGCCGAUGUCGGAUUAGCUAGUUGGCGGGGUAAAGGCCCACCAAGGCGACGAUCCGUAGCUGGUCUGAGAGGAUGAUCAGGCACACUGGAACGUGGACACGGUCCAGACUCCUACGGGAGGCAGCAGUGGGGAAUAUUGGACAAAGGGCGCAAGCCUGAUCCAGCCAUACCGCGUGGGUGAAGAAGGCCUUCGGGUUGUAAAGCCCUUUUGUUGGGAAAGAAAAGCAGCAGGUUAAUACCCCGCUGUUCUGACGGUACCCAAAGAAUAAGCACCGGCUAACUUCGUG